rnacentral:rRNA from 1 species
CGCGUAGGCGGGCCACUCAGUCCGGGGUGAAAUCUUUCGGCUUAACCGGAAACGUGCCUUGGAGACGGGUGGUCUGGAGGGAGAUAGGGGCAGGUGGAACUUCCGGUGGAGCGGUGAAAUGCGUUGAUAUCGGAAGGAACGCCGGUGGCGAAAGCGACCUGCUGGAUCUCUACUGACGCUGAGGCGCGAAAGCCAGGGGAGCGAAG